rnacentral:rRNA from 1 species
UAGGGAAUCUUCCGCAAUGGACGGAAAGUCUGAUGGAGCAACGCCGCGUGAGUGAAGAAGGGUUUCGGCUCGUAAAACUCUGUUGUUAAAGAAGAACAUAUCUGAGAGUAACUGUUCAGGUAUUGACGGUAUUUAACCAGAAAGCCACGGCUAACUACGUGCCAG